GACUCUCAACGGUGGAUCACUCGGCUCGCGAGUCGAUGAAGGACGCAGCUAAGUGCGAGAAGUGGUGUGAAUUGCAGAACACAUUGAACGUCGACCUUCGAACGCGAAUGGCGGUCUCGGGUUAAUCCGGGACCACGUCUGCCUCAGGGUUG
rnacentral:rRNA from 12 species